AUUCCAGCUCCAAUAGCGUAUAUUAAAGUUGUUGCAGUUAAAAAGCUCGUAGUUGGAUUUCUGGUGUGGGGUGCUUGACCCGCCGCGGUUACGCGUGUGAGUGUCGGUGUGCUCUGCCCAUCCUUCUAGAAAUUGGCUCUGCCCUUCAUUGGGUUGGGGUCAGGAUCUAGAUCUUUUACUUUGAAAAAAUUAGAGUGUUUAAAGCAAGCGUUGCGUGAAUACAUUAGCAUGGAAUAAUAACUUAGGACUUCGGUUCUAUUUUGUUGGUUUCUAGGACUGAAGUAAUGAUUGAUAGGGAUAGUUGGGGGUGCUAGUAUUCAGCGGCCAGAGGUGAAAUUCUUGGAUUCGCUGAAGACUAACUUAUGCGAAAGCAUUCACCAAGGAUGUCUUCAUCG
rnacentral:rRNA from 1 species